AUGUACUCGUGUAUCGAACCAACCCCUAUUGAGCCUGUCCAAUCGAGACAAAGUUCCUGCACCCAAUCGCAUGCUUUCUGCUUACUUAGCUUUCCAGUGCGCCUUUGAUAUAUGCUAACAUUUGCUUUGAGCAUCGCAGUUGAUACACGAUCAUCAAACAAAUACUGAUAAUUGUUCUGCUGCUAGAAGAUGAGUCGGUGUCGCCGGCACCGGCCCCUUCGGUAGACGAGGCGCUGUCGCCGCUUCGGACGACUUCCAUGGCUAGGAGGGGUCCCCCAGGCCACAGUAGGGCAGGGCCUGUGCGAGUUCAGGCGCAGAUAUGGUAAUGGAAUGAGGAAACAACAGAUAGAUUUUCAGGAGCAGAAAAUUCCACGUCUACACAGUUUGACUUCGUCGUCGUCAUCAUGAAGGUUCUCGCAUUUACCCUGAUGUUUUUGGCGCUUAUCUCCUUCGUGAUGUCCUUCUGUCAAAAUGAGGCAGAAAGGGCCGUGGAAUGUGUCCAGACCCUGGAGGAGAGAUGGAAAUUCGACAACACAGCGUCCAAGGAAGAGGCUAAGGGUGUUGUCUGCUGCAUCGCAGACGACAUCGAGGGAUGUGUGCGAAGUCACUUAACGGGAAGAUGUUCUGCUCUUGCGUCUCCGGUGUCCGAAAGGGCUAGAGGAGCUUUCUUCGCGGUUUUAACGGGCGACCGAAAGACUGACUUCUGCACCGCACGCGCGGGUCCCACAUGCAGUGCCCUGAAGUCUCGUUUUGGAAACUGAGCGACCAGGGCUACUUGCUUUGUAACUGUUCCGUAUAUUAAACGGGCCUUUGUUAAACCA